rnacentral:rRNA from 1 species
AGAGUUUGAUCCUGGCUCAGGAUGAACGCUGGCGGCGUGCCUAACACAUGCAAGUCGAGCGAACCCCUUCGGGGGAGAGCGGCGGACGGGUGAGUAACGCGUGGGUAACCUACCCUGUACACACGGAUAACAUACCGAAAGGUAUACUAAUACGUGAUGACAUAUCGGACAGGCAUCUGUCAGAUAUCAAAGGUCAGCCGGUACAGGAUGGACCCGCGUCUGAUUAGCUAGUUGGUGAGAUAAAAGCUCACCAAGGCGACGAUCAGUAGCCGACCUGAGAGGGUGAUCGGCCACAUUGGAACUGAGACACGGUCCAAACUCCUACGGGAGGCAGCAGUGGGGAAUAUUGCACAAUGGGCGAAAGCCUGAUGCAGCAACGCCGCGUGAGUGAUGAAGGUUUUCGGAUCGUAAAACUCUGUCCUCAAGGAAGAUAAUGACGGUACUUGAGGAGGAAGCCCCGGCUAACUACGUGCCAGCAGCCGCGGUAAUACGUAGGGGGCUAGCGUUAUCCGGAUUUACUGGGCGUAAAGGGUGCGUAGGCGGUCUUUCAAGUCAGAAGUUAAAUUCUACGGCUCAACCGUAGCCAGCUUUUGAAACUGGAAGACUUGAGUGCAGGAGAGGAGAGUAGAAUUCCUAGUGUAGCGGUGAAAUGCGUAGAUAUUAGGAGGAAUACCAGUAGCGAAGGCGGCUCUCUGGACUGUAACUGACGCUGAGGCACGAAAGCGUGGGGAGCGAACAGGAUUAGAUACCCUGGUAGUCCACGCC